AGUUUGAUCAUGGCUCACCAUGGAUCGUAUCCUUAAAGUUUGAUCAUGGCUCAGGUUGGAUCACCUCCUUAGAGUUUGAUCAUGGCUCAGGCUGGAUCACCUCCUUAGAGUUUGAUCAUGGCUCAGGUUGGAUCACCUCCUUGGAGUUUGAUCAUGGCUCAGGCUGGAACACCUCCUUAGAGUUUGAUCAUGGCUCAGAUUGAACGCUGGCGGCAGGCCUAACACAUGCAAGUCGAACGGUAACAGGAAGCAGCUUGCUGCUUCGCUGACGAGUGGCGGACGGGUGAGUAAUGUCUGGGAAACUGCCUGAUGGAGGGGGAUAACUACUGGAAACGGUAGCUAAUACCGCAUAACGUCGCAAGACCAAAGAGGGGGACCUUCGGGCCUCUUGCCAUCGGAUGUGCCCAGAUGGGAUUAGCUAGUAGGUUNGGGGGUAACGGCUCACCUAGGCGACGAUCCCUAGCUGGUCUGAGAGGAUGACCAGCCACACUGGAACUGAGACACGGGUCCAGGACUCCUACGGGA
rnacentral:sRNA from 1 species